rnacentral:tRNA from 1 species
GCGAAAGUAGCUCAGUGGUAGAGCUCGACCUUGCCAAGGUCGAUGUCGCGGGUUCAAGUCCCGUCUUUCGCUUCA